GGAAGCGGAUGAGAUCUGGUGGUCUCUGCGGUCUUCAAAACCGCUGGCUGCCCUUACCGGCAGCGGCAGGUUCGAUUCCUGCCCCUUCCGCA
rnacentral:tRNA from 1 species